ACGACUUAUUUUCUCUUGAUCAUGAAUACUCUCCAAGUGGCCAAAAAAGAUGUGGAUAAAAUUCUUAAUUAAAUGGAUUUUAUAAACUGAUCAUCCAGUCCAAUACGGAAACAUACAGCCCAUUAAUGAAAUUAUCUUGAACCAUUUGCGCGCAGUUUGCGAGAAUUAUUCCCCUCGUGAAGGAUAUUAUAAUCCAAAAAAUCUGCAUCGCCUACUAGAAAAGCUGGGAAGUCCGUAUGGAGGAAAUGAUAUAGGAUUUUAAUUGUCUUGAACCUUGAUGAUUUACAAGAAUUUCCGAAAGUGGGGAGCUAGCUAUAUUCUCAAAUCUUUCAUCUUCCUUUUUGGAUUUAAUUUGGUUGGUAUACGGGUCCUGAUUUUAUCAUGAUAUUUCUUAUUUCAUCAUUCAUGGUUGCCGUAGACGUGGGUGGUUGGAAGGGCCAAUGGUGUAUAUAUAUCCCAUUUCUAGCUUGCGGGGACCUCUCUGGGUAUGAUUCUGACCGUUCAUAUCCGUUACCUAAAGCUGCCGAUGGAGCUUAAUUACAAGGGCUUGGAUCCUGUAGAGCCCCCACUUGCCCCUCCUUGCAAGCUAAGAGAGCCCUUGAACUGAUGAAAGCAUCCAGUCGUGGAGUCCAAGAGCUCGAAAAGCUCUCCUCGGAUUCUUGAUCAUGGUCAUGUAUAACAUGACAUAUUUAUCUAGAAACAGGCCAACCAACUCAAAUGGAUUGGAGUGCCAAAUUUGAUCACUGGAUAGACAAUUAUUACUGUAAGCUGCCUUUAACAUUUUGUUCUGCUAAAACAAUAAUUGCUCUUGCUUAAACUGGUUGGUUUUCGUGUCCCACUAGCUAGAUAGUACCUGGAAAGCAUUCAGAUUUAGAGAGUGCAGCUUAUAGGGAUGGGAUUCGCCUGUGCAUAUUUGGCAGUACUAGCUACUGUUAGGUCAAAAGAUUGAAAUAAAAGCUGGUAUCAAAUGGGAUAUUCGAUGAUUUUCAAGUAGUGGUCCUGACAGUGGCUUUUCCUUUGAAAAUUAGACGGGUCGACAUCUUCGGUAUGGUCCAUGUCUAUGAGCUGUGAGGUGGUGAAGUAUCAUACUGUAAUUUUCAGUGUAAUUGAUCCACCAUCUUUUUAUUUUUUGUUUCUUCCUGGUUCGGUAAUGAUUUAGAUUGGACCAAUGAUCAUCGAUCCA